rnacentral:rRNA from 1 species
GACGGGGGAUGCAAGUGUUAUCCGGAAUCACUGGGCGUAAAGCGUCUGCAGGUGGUUUCCUAAGUCCACUGUUAAACCUUGAGGCUCAACCUCAAAUCUGCAUUGGAAACUAGGAGACUUGAGUAUAGUAGGGGUAGAGGGAAUUUCCAGUGGAGCGGUGAAAUGCGUAGAUAUUGGGAAGAACACCAGUGGCGAAGGCGGCUCACUGGCCCGUAACUGACGCUGAGGUGCGAAAGCGUGGGGAGCAAACAGG